CGCAGCCUUGUCAAAUUCAGUUGGGUCGCUUCCAUGAUCCCCACUGGCCCAAGUGGCUGCUACAGAACGUUUGCUGCUCAUUGUGUCCCAUGUCUCUUGCUGUGAGAUAUGAAGGCUCCAUGGGCUGCUGACAUUU
ensembl:snoRNA